UCUUUAAAACUAAAGGCAUCCUCUUUUAAAACUGCUUCUUUAGAGAAUCAAUCUGGGUUCAAUUUAAUGCUUCCUUGCCGUUUAACCGGGUACCCAGCAGGCUGUGGAAUUGGGGGGGAAAACCACAGGCAGGAAAUCCGACCUCGCUGUAUUCCAUGUGACCGCCUGCUCCGAGAAUCCGGGAGCAACAUUCCCCUGAUUCAUCCUCCAGAAAUCGGGGGGUGGGGUGAGGAAGGGUUCCUCCUCGGUUUAGUGUUGCCAGUUACUUUCACAGACUUUUGGAUGAGAACUAGGAAGGAGGACUGGAAAAAUUCAUCAAGUUAACAACAGCUCAUUUCCCCAGCAAAGAAACUCCUUGCCGUCUCCAAAGCAAGAACACAAGCCGCAAACGAGCACCUGAUCAUUUCUAUGUGCUGGGCAGCUCGAUACAAUCCUCCCACCUCUUGAGCUGAAUCGUAAACUACAUGUCAUACAGUAAAUGAUGUGCCGAGCUGCGGUGUAAGAUUGCAUUGAGGGUAUGAAGACACAAUGCGGCCGUCAGGAAGAUGUCCCACGGUGGUCUAAUAGUUUCCUGGCACUAAGUGGAGUCCUUCUUUUCAGAGAACAACCAGAAUAGUAUUUGAAGUGACAGGGAUGACUGGAGGAGGACUCGGAGAAAACGACUAAUGAAAAGCAGAGUGCCUGGAGGGGCGUGUCCUUGUCUGUGUUUGAUUGACGGCACCUGGCAGGCUGAGUCCCAGCAAGGGAACGAGAGACAACGUCAUCGGCAGACAGCGCGUUGUUAGCGGCGCCUGAGAACCACACUACCACAUCUAACUGAGACGAAGUGACAUUUGCAGCAAAUAGUCACAGCCUCACUUAGACACUAACGUCGGAGCGCUCGUUUACCCCUCUCGGCGCAGCCCCGGCGGACGGGGCACCCGCUCUACUAAGAGACAUUCCACCGGCUCCAAGUCACAACACCGCCCGGCUGGGACUCGCCAAGUUGACAAACGCGAUGAACUCAACCUAGCACAGGAGAAAGAAGAUGCCUCCUUCUCGCUUUACACUUGAAACAUAUUAAUAUUACGUGAGCUGUGGCGACCCCCAACCUCCCCCAUUUUAAAUAAGCUAACGGCAGACGUUCUCCGGACUGUCGGUUGACACAGACGUUGAGCUAACGAGCCAUGGAUCACAUACCAAUCA